rnacentral:tRNA from 1 species
GAGGAUAUAGCUCAGUGGUAGAGUGCAUGCUUAGCACAUGCUUAACAUGCACAAGGUCCUGGGUUCAAACCCCAAUACCUCU